UCACCCCUCAAGCCCCCGGCUUGGUGUUGGACGGUUUAGCCUUGGGUGACGAGGCCCGUUUUAAAAUCAAUGACGGCGGCCUGUUCGACCCCCGGUACACUGAGCUUCUGAACUGAGCACGUAUCGGUUGAAGGGUAGGCAGGACCCGGUCUUCUUUCUUAACCGGAAACUCUUUUCAA
rnacentral:misc_RNA from 1 species